AAAAGCUUGGAACUAAUUCCGUGUGGUCGUUUUACAGCCUCAAAGGAAAGAAAGGGAAGCUACCAUUUAGUGAUCUUCCCAUCUGCAAAGUUAUCAUCAGAGCAUGCAUGAGAACCUACAAAGAAGCAAAAACCUCUGCAGUGGAGCAUCAAAUUAGUGAGGCCCUGAAGCAUGCUCCUAAGAGGAAAGGUGGCCAAAAAUACAAGGAACCUGAGCAAAAGAGACGUAUGCAUUUUGUAGAAGAGUCAUCAAAUUCCUCUGACUAGCCGCAGUUGAAACGAGAAGAUGCCAUGGCUGCAGUCUUCUUCUUCCUCUGUUGACAUUUCCGGUCCACCACCAUCUCCUCCUCCAGCUGCCUCUCCCUGAUGCCCCCCUUCACUUCGUCCUGCCAGCGCAGCAGGGUCUCCCUCACCGGUGCCUGCCCUGCAACUCCAUGUCCAUCAUUCUCCUUCCCAUGUAGUCUUCAUCUCCUGAAUGGUACUUUUUUUGCUAAAAUAAAUUUCUCAUUUCAA